GGGGAAUAUUGCACAAUGGGGGAAACCGUGAUGCAGCAACGCCGCGUGAAGGAUGAAGGUUUUCGGAUUGUAAACUUCUUUAGUCAGGGACGAAUAAAUGACGGUACCUGCAGAAGAAGCGCCGGCUAACUACGUGCCAGCAGCCGCGGUAAUACGUAGGGCGCAAGCGUUGUCCGGAAUUAUUGGGCGUAAAGAGCUCGUAGGCGGUUAGUCGCGUCUGCUGUGAAAACUCGAGGCUCAACCUCGGGCUUGCAGUGGGUACGGGCUGACUAGAGUGCGGUAGGGGUGACUGGAAUUCCUGGUGUAGCGGUGGAAUGCGCAGAUAUCAGGAGGAACACCGAUGGCGAAGGCAGGUCACUGGGCCGCAACUGACGCUGAGGAGCGAAAGCAUGGGGAGCGAACA
rnacentral:rRNA from 1 species